rnacentral:lncRNA from 1 species
CCAAAGUUUAACAUACCGAAUUUCACAUACAUUACAUCCAUAUACAUAACUCAUAAAUUUCUUAUAACACACAUGUUUACGUAUGUAUACAUAUACAUAUACCCAUCACCAUCAUGCACACAAUCCCAUCAUCAUCAUGCACACCAUCCCAUCAUCAUCAUCACCAGCUCAUACGCACUUCCUACUCGCACAUGGCUGGGUCAUCACCGGGUUAUGCGCACUCCCUACUCGCACAUAACCGGAUCAUCCUCGACUUACGCCCACUCCCUACUCGCAUAUAGCCGAGUCAAUAGAACUACACAACAUUAUAUUCUAGCAUAUAUGUAUAUCAACAUAAUACAGCCACAUAGAAAUCCAUAAUAACCACAUAUCAUAACAUAAACCAUUCCACAAGAGCUUGUUCCCAAGGCAUUCAUUUUUGAGAAAAGUUGUAUAAAAUCAUUCAAACAUUUUGCUCAAAAUUGUCAUAUUCCCAAAACAAUUUUGAUAGGCAGUCCAUUCACCAAUUGAUUGUAGAGCCUUUAGAUGACUCCAAUUCCUUUAAUUAUCCAAAUGAGAUGAUGGGGCUUCCUUAGAACCUAG